UAAAUAUACCGGUUCUCGUUAGAUCACCGAAGUUAAGCAUCAUUGGGCGCGGUCAGUACUUGGGUGGGUGACCACCUGGGAACACCGCGUGCCGUU
rnacentral:rRNA from 1 species